AGAUUGAACGCUGGCGGCAUGCCUUACACAUGCAAGUCGAACGGCAGCACGGGAGCAAUCCUGGUGGCGAGUGGCGAACGGGUGAGUAAUAUAUCGGAACGUGCCCAGUCGUGGGGGAUAACGCAGUGAAAGCUGUGCUAAUACCGCAUACGAUCUAUGGAUGAAAGCGGGGGACUCGCAAGAGCCUCGCGCGAUUGGAGCGGCCGAUAUCAGAUUAGCUAGUUGGUGGGGUAAAAGCCCACCAAGGCGACGAUCUGUAGCUGGUCUGAGAGGACGACCAGCCACACUGGAACUGAGACACGGUCCAGACUCCUACGGGAGGCAGCAGUGGGGAAUUUUGGACAAUGGGCGCAAGCCUGAUCCAGCAAUGCCGCGUGCAGGAUGAAGGCCUUCGGGUUGUAAACUGUCGUUUUAGUACGGAACGAAAAGGUUCCUUUACUAAUACAAGGGCCCAUGACGGUUACCGUAAGAAUAAGCGACCGACUAACUACGU
rnacentral:rRNA from 1 species